rnacentral:rRNA from 1 species
AUUGAACGCUGGCGGCAUGCUUUACACAUGCAAGUCGAACGGCAGCACGGACUUCGGUCUGGUGGCGAGUGGCGAACGGGUGAGUAAUACAUCGGAACGUGCCCAGUUGUGGGGGAUAACUACUCGAAAGAGUAGCUAAUACCGCAUGAGAACUGAGGUUGAAAGCAGGGGAUCGUAAGACCUUGCGCAACUGGAGCGGCCGAUGGCAGAUUAGGUAGUUGGUGGGAUAAAAGCUUACCAAGCCGACGAUCUGUAGCUGGUCUGAGAGGACGACCAGCCACACUGGGACUGAGACACGGCCCAGACUCCUACGGGAGGCAGCAGUGGGGAACUUUGGACAAUGGGCGAAAGCCUGAUCCAGCAAUGCAGCGUGCAGGAUGAAGGCCUUCGGGUUGUAAACUGCUUUUGUACGGAACGAAAAGCUUCGGGUUAAUACCCUGGAGUCAUGACGGUACCGUAAGAAUAAGCACCGGCUAACUACGUGCCAGCCGCCGCAGUAA